AUGCGGUUAGCUCAUCAUAUGCCCCAUUUGUACAGCUUCACGCCAGUCCCACCAGUGGUUAAGAGACGACCAAUGCUGAUCCAACAGCGAGGUCGCCGGCGUGUGCGCCGCAGCGGUGGUGGUGUCCGGCUGGGCUUGCUGCUCCGGCUGCGCGUGCGGCUGUCCGGCAUCGUCGGCCUGCUCGUCAGGAGCGUGGAGGAGCUCAGAUGCUGCCCCGCCCGUGGCAAGAUCAGCUGCUCGACGUCGAGAGCGCGCAGGCCGGUGUUGUCCCUUGACGGUAGCUGCCGUCGCCGUCAGGCGCCGGCAGAUAGGAAUCAGAGCUCCUUCUACAACGAGGCCAUAGCAGACUGCUUGGAGUUCAUCAAGAGCAGAUCCACCUAAAUGCCUGCGAAGGAUGAUAAGAUCGUCAGUUUGAAUUAG
rnacentral:rRNA from 1 species